rnacentral:rRNA from 1 species
UACAGAGGGUGCAAGCGUUGUUCGGAAUUACUGGGCGUAAAGGGCUCGUAGGCGGCCAACUAAGUCGGACGUGAAAUCCCUCGGCUCAACCGGGGAACUGCGUCCGAUACUGGAUGGCUUGAGUUCGGGAGAGGGAUGCGGAAUUCCAGGUGUAGCGGUGAAAUGCGUAGAUAUCUGGAGGAACACCGGUGGCGAAGGCGGCAUCCUGGACCGACACUGACGCUGAGGAGCGAAAGCGUGGGGAGCAAACAGG